UACGGGGGGGGCAAGCGUUGUUCGGAAUUACUGGGCGUAAAGGGUGCGUAGGCGGCGCGGUAAGUCGGGUGUGAAAUCUCGGGGCUUAACUCCGAAACUGCAUUCGAUACUGCCGUGCUUGAGGACUGGAGAGGAGACUGGAAUUUACGGUGUAGCGGUGGAAUGCGCAGAUAUCAGGAGGAACACCGGUGGCGAAGGCGGGUCUCUGGGCAGUAACUGACGCUGAGGAGCGAAAGCGUGGGGAGCGAACAGG
rnacentral:rRNA from 1 species